rnacentral:lncRNA from 7 species
AUUCUUGCACCCGCCGGAGCCCUUAGUACGUAGUAUCGAAACCGACAACCAUACAAUGUUCAGAAAUCGCUGGGUUCUUGUGAUAUAUUUAUAUAUAGAGAGCAGUAGAGCACUGGGCAUGGGAGGUAUCAGGAAAUUUGUCUGCUGCAGAAGGUUCUGUCCGAGGAGUGCCUACUCCAGUGCAUUCCACACGCCGAAGUUCCACACUUGUGUAGCAGGCUGCCCCGAAGACUGAUCCCCAAACCUAGAGACACAAAUCAGUCUUGAAGCCUCGGGCAUGUUGGCACCGGCUGCAUGAAUUCACAACUCAAGUCAAUCGGAAAAACACUCGGAACACGGAUUCACGACGCCGCUCGCCACGAACGGAAUACUUGCGAGCUCACGAGCGCUAACCUGUAGCUUUUCUGUUGUGACAGGUUUGAUUAUUUCGAUGUUGCACAUUGUGUAAGACCCCACGAUCCCCACUAUUUCUCUUCAAGAUGCAUCGUGCUCGCCUAAAGCGCGAGAACAGUUUUGUGCACGACAUGGCGGUGACUACACACACCUGGCGCAACGACUUGUUUGCUGAGUAUGGGGUGGAAGCCCCACCUAUCCCACGUAGCUUUUAUUUUAAGUUUUGAUCCGAUGAUAGAUCUAUGCUCUUGUUGGUUUUGCUACCUGUACUUCUUGGUUUUGCUCUGAGUCUUGGUUUUCUUGAGGAACUCUCCAGGUUUUGCUAAGAUCUUUCUCACCCUCCUUAUCAUUGCUGAAUAAUGAAACUGUACUCAGCCACCGAAUGAAUGAGCAGUGACUCAUUAGACC